UGCCGCUGUCGCAUACACAGAUCUGGCAUGGCUCCGGUUUCCACACAUCCCUGUCAGCAAACACCUGGCCGUCCAAGGUGCAGCUACCGCCCGUGCCUGUGGGAGGCGACACAGAGAGACAGGGAAGAGGAUGGAAUGCAAUCUGUCUUUCAGGAAGAAAGAGAGGCAGAAAAGAACAAGAAAGGGAGGAAAGCGCCACCUCAUCAUUCCCCAGUUCGGCUUCCAGCUCCUAUUGGAUCUUCGGGGCGUCACAAACUCACACAUUCACACACACAGCUUUUUUUUUCUUUCUUUUUUUUUUUUUGUCUUUUUCCAAUGAUUCUGAUGAAAAAAACAUAUAUCGCCCUCAUUUCAGCAGCUCACCUCAAAAUCUCAACUUGACGACUUCUAAAAGCAACACAUUCAGGUUUUUUUCCCCCAUAUUUUGACAUAAAGGUAAAAGUGCAUUUUCAAACACAUUUGUGUCAUGCAUUGCGGUAGAAUCGUGACAUAGGCCUUUACAGUUGGGUCAUUGCUAAAGCAAUUUAAGUUGCAACAAAAGUCUAGCAAAUAAGUUGCAGAGACCAGAAGUUGUUUAGCUUUGCUUAGCACAAACAACUGUUACAACAACUUUGACUUUAUUUAGAAUUAGAUUUAUAUGUUAUUUAGUUAAGUGUGCACAUGCAGGAAGGUGGUGAUGCUUAAUGUUCCCAUGUCGUUGAGCUAAGCUAAGCUAAGCUUAUCUUGUUCUGGUACCUUGAUAUGUACCAAUAGCCAUCAAACUGGCAUCAAGGGAGGUCAAAAAGAAGGGAAGAGACAGGAAGCCAGAGGGAAGUAAUAGUUAGUGAUGGCACAGCAUUUUUCUUAACAAGCUAGCUAAACUACUAGCUAAAUUUUUUUUUUACCUUUUCAAUACAAGAACACAAAUAUUAAAAAACUACAUUUUAUUGAUUCACUUCUUGAACAUGCGUUUUAACAACAAAGCGUGCAAGUAAACAAGAUCAGUCUGCCAAACACGAAUUACAGAAGCGUGGAGGCAGCCACUGCAUCUUGUUUCUGAACGCAGUAUUUAAAGAUUAAAACUUCACAUUCUAUGAUGUUUGGAAUGAACCGACAGUGAAUGCAUCCGAGACCUUACGCAAAACUGAACUUAGAAGAGAUGUAAUUGUAGGUUUUACAGAUUAAAACAGUUAGAAUUAUAGAUAUGCCGUGGAGCUUUCUUUUAAGAGCUCAGUCGCAUACGCUCUCAACUCGCACCAAAAAGGUCAUGCUGGUCGUGAUUCCGCACAAUAAACUGCAUAUUUCUCCUUUGUGUUGUUUUCACUGAUCUCAUGAUUGAGCCAUUUUCCUCCAAAACAUAAUGUGACCCAAAUUAAAGAGUACAUGUACAUUUUCUUUCUUUACUCUAAAAAUGUAUAUAAUGGCUUUGAUUGCACACAAGUACAUACUACCAGACAUUGCAUGCAUGCAUCAGAGAGUAAUUAGUUGUAUAGAAAUUGGCUGGUGCAGACUUUCAAGGGGUGUAACUUUGGCAUGUUGAAGGGUCAGGUUGGUACAAAUGUAGAAACACUCCAUACAUAUAAGUAGGAUUUAAUUAAAGCACAGUCGUGCUUGCAAAGUCAUAUAGGAAUAAAGACUGAGUGAUCUCUCAGUUCCAAUCUAUAAUUUCCAACAUUUCCCUGCCAGAGCAGAGCUGGAGAAAAACAAAUGGAAAUGUUUGAGAUUCCUGCACAGGAGGAAGAAGGGAUUGAAAUGAUAUUAAUUAUCCCUAAAGGGGUCAGAUGGGAGGCAAAGAGACACUGAGGUAAAGCUGUUAUUUAAUAGUAGGGAAACUCAUUAAGAUCCAGUUAAAGAUCAGACUCCUGGCCAAUAAGCUUUGGGCAAUGAAAUUAUCUUACAUCUAAAUCAGGUGGGUUAUUAAAAGGCAAGCGACAGUGAGCGAUCUGAGCAAAAAAUGUGAUUUAACACACCGUGAAUAGUGCAUAGAUUGAAUAGGUGAGUUGUCCAUUGAAUGUGGGACAUGUUUAAAUAAUACUUUUUCACCUGAGCCACUGAAAAUAAGACUUCUUGCUACAGCGCAUGGUGCUAGAAGAGUACAUCUAGGAUCUCACUAUAUGCUGAUGAUAUGCUGGUGUGUAUGGAUCGCCUUUCAACAUCUGUUUCCCUUUGUUCCACAGAAAAUGUUUGAUUGUGUGAAGAAGUUAACCUUUGCCUCCUCUUUCAAGCAGUGUGGAAAGAAAGUCUUCACUCCAAAAACGAGGAAUGCCAAAAGGCACACUUGAACAUUCCUGACAUGGAGCACAAAGACGAACUGGGAAA